CCUACGGGAGGCUGCAAUGGGGAAUAUUGGACAAUGGGGGCAACCCUGAUCCAGCCAUGCCGCGUGUGUGAAGAAGGCCCUCGGGUUGAAAAGCACUUUCAGUGAGGAAGAACGCCUGGUGGUUAAUACCCAUCAGGAAAGACAUCACUCACAGAAGAAGCACCGGCUAACUCCGUGCCAGCAGCCGCGGUAAUACGGAGGGUGCGAGCGUUAAUCGGAAUUACUGGGCGUAAAGCGCGCGUAGGUGGCUUGAUAAGCCGGUUGUGAAAGCCCCGGGCUCAACCUGGGAACGGCAUCCGGAACUGUCAAGCUAGAGUGCAGGAGAGGAAGGUAGAAUUCCCGGUGUAGCGGUGAAAUGCGUAGAGAUCGGGAGGAAUACCAGUGGCGAAGGCGGCCUUCUGGACUGACACUGACACUGAGGUGCGAAAGCGUGGGUAGCAAACAGGAUUAGAUACCCUAGUAGUC
rnacentral:rRNA from 1 species